rnacentral:rRNA from 1 species
GCAUAUCAAUAAGCGGGAAGGAAAAAAGAACUAACAAGGAUUCCCCUAGUAGCGGCGAGCGAAGCGGGAAAAGCUCAAAUUUGUAAUCUGGCGCUUUCGGUGUCCGAGUUGUAAUCUCGAGAAGUGUUUUCCGCGUCAGACCGCACACAAGUCUCCUGGAACGGAGCGUCAUAGUGGUGAGAACCCAGUACACGGUGCGGAUGCCUGAUGCUUUGUGAUACACUUUCGAAGAGUCGAGUUGUUUGGGAAUGCAGCUCAAAUUGGGUGGUAAAUUCCAUCUAAAGCUAAAUAUUGGCGAGAGACCGAUAGCGAACAAGUACCGUGAGGGAAAGAUGAAAAGCACUUUGGAAAGAGAGUUAACAGUACGUGAAAUUGUUGGAAGGGAAACGCUUGAAGUCAGACUUGCUAUUCGGAGCUUGCUUCGAUUCGCAGGCCCGCAUCAGUUUUUCGGGGCGGAAAAUCGUAGAGAGAAGGUAGCAGUUUCGGCUGUGUUAUAGCUUUCUACUGGAUUCGUCCUGGGGGACUGAGGAACGCAGCGUGCUUUUUGCAUGGGCUUCGGCCUAUCCACGCUUAGGAUGCGGGUGGAAUGGCUUUAAACGACCCGUCUUGAAACACGGACCAAGGAGUCUAACAUGCUUGCGAGUAUUUGGGUGUCAAACCCGGAUGCGCAAUGAAAGUGAAUGGAGGUGGGAAGCGCAAGCUGCACCAUCGACCGAUCUGGAUUUUCUAAGAUGGAUUUGAGUAAGAGCAAGUAUGUUGGGACCCGAAAGAUGGUGAACUAUGCCUGAAUAGGGUGAAGCCAGAGGAAACUCUGGUGGAGGCUCGUAGCGGUUCUGACGUGCAAAUCGAUCGUCAAAUUUGGGUAUAGGGGCGAAAGACUAAUCGAACCAUCUAGUAGCUGGUUCCUGCAA